CGCUAUGGGUCUCAUUGGAUUCUAUGGGUCGCUAUGGGUCUCAUUGGAUUCUAUGGGUCGCUAUGGGUCUCAUUGGAUUCUAUGGGUCUCUAUGGGUCUCUAUGGGUCGCUAUGGGUCUCAUUGGAUUCUAUGGGUCUCUAUGGGUCUCAUUGGAUUCUAUGGGUCUCUAUGGGUCUCAUUGGAUUCUAUGGGUCACUAUGGGUCUCAUUGUAUUCUAUGGGUCGCUAUGGGUCUCAUUGUAUUCUAUGGGUCGCUAUGGGUCUCAAUGGAUUCUAUGGGUCUCUAUGGGUCUCACUGGAUUCUAUGGGUCUCUAUGGGUCUCUAUGGGUCGCUAUGGGUUUCAUUGGAUUCUAUGGGUUGCUAUGGGUCUCUAUGGGUCGCUAUGGGUCUCAUUGGAUUCUAUGGGUCUCUAUGGGUCUCUAUGGGUCUCUAUGGGUCUCUAUGGGUCGCUAUGGGGCUGAUGCUGUGUCCCCCCCCCCCCAGGACGUGUUCUCCUUCAUCUUCGAUGGGAUCCCCCCCUCCCUGCACGGUGUGGGGCUGCGGGGUGACCCACAACUGCUGGGGGCCUUCUGUGGGGGGGGGCCCUCCCAGCCCCACACAUUGGUGGCCCGCUCAGGUGUGGCUGUCAUAUACUCUGCCCCCCCCGCCGUGGGGCUGAACGUCACUGUCCGUCUGUGUGGGGCGGGGCCGGGGGGUGGGGCCGACUGUGGGGCGGAGCCUGAGGAGACCACGCCCCCUUCAGUGCACACUGACCAAUGGGAGCAAGAGGAGGAGUGUAAUGAGACCCGGUGCCUGGAGCCGUGGAGCGUCCAAUGGGAGCAGCUGGGGGCGGAGCAUAAAGGAGCCGUGAGUGGGGGGAUCUAUGGGGCUCUAUGGGUCUAUGGGUCUCUAUGGGUCUAUGGGUCCCAAUGGGUCUCUAUGGGAUCUCAGUGAGGCUCUAUGGGUCUCUAUGGGGCUCUAUGGGUCCCUAUGGGUCUCUAUGGGGCUCUAUGGGUCUCUAUGGGGUCUCUAUGGGGCUCUAUGGGGUCUCCAUGGGUCCCUAUGGGUCUCUAUGGGUCCCUAUGGAUCUCUAUGGGGCUCUAUGGGGUCUCUGUGGGGCUCUAUGGGUCCCUAUGGGGUCUCUAUGGGGCUCUGUGGGGUCUCUAUGGGUCCCUAUGGGUCUCUAUGGGGCUCUAUGGGUCUCUAUGGGGUCUCUGUGGGGCUCUAUGGGUCCCUAUGGGGUCUCUAUGUCUCUCUAUGGGUCCCUAUGGGUCUCUAUGGGGUUCUAUGGGGUCUCUAUAUGUCUCUAUGUGUUCCUAUGUCUCUCUAUGGGGUCUCUAUGGGUCCGUAUGGGGUCUCUAUGUAUCCCUAUGGGAUCUCUAUGGGUCUCUAUGGGUCCCUAUGGGUCUCUAUAGGUCUCUAUGGGACUAUUUGGGUCCCUAUGGGUCCCUAUGGGAUUUCUAUGGGUCUCUAUGGGUCUCUAUGGGUCUCUAUGGGUCC
rnacentral:lncRNA from 1 species